GGCCUCCCAAAGUGCUGAGAUUACAGGCAUGAGCCACCGCAUCUGGCCUUUUUUUUUUUUUUGAGAUGGAGUCUCACUCUAUUGCCCAGACUGGAGUACAGUGGCUUGAUCUUGGCUCACUGCAACCUCCGCCUCCCGGGUUCAAGCAAUUCUCCUGCCUCAGCUGCCUGAAUAGCUAAGAUUACAGGUAUCUGCCACCAUGCCUGGC
rnacentral:lncRNA from 1 species